GCCCUCUUUCUUCCUUUUCCUCCUCCUUUCCUCUCCCUCCCUCUUUUGCUUCCUCCCCCUAUCCCAAUAGCAUUUCACGCUUCUAUUGCUCAUGCGCUCUGACCCAGGCAUGGAUUCUUUUCUUUCCUGUAACUCCCCACCACCCUCCUCCUUCUAGAAUGCUGAGCUUUGCCACCCUGCUCCUGGAAGUGAGCGAGCAAGGUUAGGUUAUGCUCAUACUCAGGACAACUCCUGGAGGAGUGGAGCUGAGUCCUAGGCACAGUUGAGUACUCAGGUGCCUCAAGGUACUUGGAAAGCUUGUCUUUCAGCAUGAAGGGCACGGUCCAAAUCAAGGCAGAAAGGUAGGCUGCAGGCUGCCUGGAUCAGAGAAACCCCUAAGGUAGCGAGCCUAGGAUCCACGUUUAUUCUUUCUCUGAGCUCUUCUCCCUCCUCUUUCUCUCUUCUUUGCUCUCAUUUCCCCUAAGCCUACCCUGUAUGUCUGCCGCACCUUGGUCUUCUCUACUCUCUGCCAAAUAGCCUUGUCUCUCCUUCCUCUUGAUGACUGGCAGUCCUAGAAGUAGAAUCCCAGCCUGACUACACAGACUGGACCAGAAGAGGUCAUGACAAGGAAUUGUUCCACACUCACUUCAGACUCCCUGAAAGGAUCAACUGCUUCCUGAGCCUAGGGCCCUGACCCUGUCCUUGUGCUAAAAAAUGCCAAAGGAAGUUCCUGGACCUUCUGUUUGACAUAGAACAUGCCGCCAAGACCCAGAAACCUUUGAGUUUUUAAAGAGAGUUCUAAAACUUGAGAAGAAACACCAUCAU